rnacentral:lncRNA from 1 species
AAACAUUUCCUGGAUUACUCUGAAGUUUUCCAGUGGAAAUUCUCACUCUGGUUUCCCCAUCGCCUCAAUCUGCUGAGCCCCAAACCCCCCCCCUCGAGCAGAAGCGCCGUGACCACGGAUAGGGCUGUGCCCUCAAAAUGGGAGGAGAUCUCACUGCUCCUACAGGCAUUUACCCGACUGGCUGGUGAGUGGGUGACAAAUCUCCUUCAGCAGCACUCCCAGGUGUGCUGAAGUGCGUUCAGCUGGUAUCCCCAUCCAUCAGCUGGGGAGAAUGCUUCUCUGGUUUGUGUGGCCUGGUUCGACAUGACAGAAGAAGAGCCAGGAAGUUUUAUAAAGGCAAAGAAAUUGAGGAGGAAGAGGACGGAGCGCCGCUGAAGACGGAGCCUGGAGGAUGUUUCCUGGCCCAGUCUGGGAGAGGAUCAGAUAGUGGGCAGAUAACAAUAGAAAUGAUGACUGAGACGAAACUGCGGCCACUCGCUGGGCAGAGAGGCUGGCCCCACCGCGGGCAGACGGAGACUGGAGAGGAGGAUCCAAAGCACGAGCAGCUCUGGUGCACAAGCUGAGCUCUGCAGCAAACUCAUGUGGGACCUCUGAGAGCUGAGAACUUCCAGGACUGCUGCAUGAGUGCUUGCACCUUUUCAGCUGGGGUAUGAAGACUCAGCAGCAAAUUCAGACCAUAAAUAUGUCUGGAGAGCGUAAAUAACUGUUACCAUGGCUCUUUCUGCCCACCAUGGUUCUUGCUUUCCUUUCACCAGUACUUUGGGAACUACCCCAUGAGCACUGGGUCCCUUGAGCCCACAUCACAGUGCGUUUCCCUCUAAUCGGAUAGAUGCUG